rnacentral:rRNA from 1 species
UACGAAGGGGGCUAGCGUUGUUCGGAAUUACUGGGCGUAAAGCGCACGUAGGCGGACAUUUAAGUCAGGGGUGAAAUCCCAGAGCUCAACUCUGGAACUGCCUUUGAUACUGGGUGUCUUGAGUAUGGAAGAGGUGAGUGGAAUUCCGAGUGUAGAGGUGAAAUUCGUAGAUAUUCGGAGGAACACCAGUGGCGAAGGCGGCUCACUGGUCCAUUACUGACACUGAGGUACGAAAGCGUGGGUAGCAAACAGG